rnacentral:rRNA from 1 species
AUUGAACGCUGGCGGUAGGCCUAACACAUGCAAGUCGAACGCGAAAGUCCUUCGGGAUGAGUAGAGUGGCGGACGGGUGAGUAACGCGUAGGAAUCUGUCCUGUAGUGGGGGAGUAACGUUUCGAAAGGAACGCUAAUACCGCAUACGCCCUACCGGGGAAAGGACGGGGGAGUCUUCGGACCUCGUGCUAUAGGAGGAGCCUGCGUCGGAUUAGCUAGUUGGUGAGGUAAAGGCUCACCAAGGCGACGAUCCGUAGCUGGUCUGAGAGGAUGAUCAGCCACACCGGAACUGAGACACGGUCCGGACUCCUAC